UUGAUGGAUAGUAUGAAUGGUAUAACGAAUAUAACACUGUCUCAAAUAAAAAUCUUAUGAAAUUAGAGUAAUAGUAAAGAUACUAUUUUAAACUGUAAGACGAGAAGACCCUAUAGAGCUUAACUAUAACUCUUUGAUAAUUAGUAAACUAGUUUAUUACUAAAAAGAGAUAGGUAGUUUAGUUGGGGCGACUAUUUUCUAAAAUUAACGAAAAUAAACAAGAAUUAAUUAAAAAAAUUUACUGUUUAAUUAAUAAAUUUAACAGUUAUUAUAAUAGGUAAUAAUGACCCGUUAACAAUUAAUAAUAAUGUUAACGAUCAAUAGAUAAAAGCUACCUUAGGGAUAACAGGAUAAUUUUGUU
rnacentral:rRNA from 1 species